rnacentral:rRNA from 1 species
CCUACGGGAGGCAGCAGUGGGGAAUAUUGCUCAAUGGGGGAAACCCUGAUGCAGCGACGCCGCGUGAGGGAAGAAGUUUUUCGUUAUGUAAAGCCCUAUUAGUAGGGAAGAAAAUGACGGUAGCUGAGUAAUAAGCCCCGGCUAACUACGUGCCAGCAGCCGCGGUAAUACGUAGGGGGCACGCGUUAACCGGCUUUACUGGGUGUAAAGGGAGCUUAGGCGGGAGUGCAAGUCUGGAGUGAAAGGCGAGGGCUUAACCCCCGGACUGCUGUUGAAACUGUUAGUCUGGAGUGGGGGAGAGGUAAGUGGAAUUCGUGGUGUAGCGGUGAAAUGCGUAGAUAUUAAGAGGAACACCAGUGGCGAAGGCGGCCUACUGGACUGUAACUGACGUUGAGGCGCGAAAGCGUGGGGAGCAAACAGGAUUAGAUACCCGAGUAGUC